UACGUAGGGUGCAAGCGUUGUCCGGAUUUAUUGGGCGUAAAGAGCUCGUAGGCGGUCUGUCGCGUCGGAUGUGAAAACCCAGGGCUCAACCCUGGGCCUGCAUUCGAUACGGGCAGACUAGAGUGUGGCAGGGGAGACUGGAAUUCCUGGUGUAGCGGUGAAAUGCGCAGAUAUCAGGAGGAACACCGAUGGCGAAGGCAGGUCUCUGGGCCGAUACUGACGCUGAGGAGCGAAAGCGUGGGGAGCAAACAGG
rnacentral:rRNA from 1 species